GACGAACGCUGGCGGCGUGCUUAACACAUGCAAGUCGAACGGAAAGGCCCUGCUUUUGUGGGGUGCUCGAGUGGCGAACGGGUGAGUAACACGUGAGUAACCUGCCCUUGACUUUGGGAUAACUUCAGGAAACUGGGGCUCAUACCGGCUAUGAGCUCCUGCUGCUUGGUGUGGGUUGGAAAGUUUCGGCGGUUGGGGAUGGACUCGCGGCUUAUCAGCUUGUUGGUGGGGUAGUGGCUUACCAAGGCUUUGACGGGUAGCCGGCCUGAGAGUGUGACCGGCCACAUUGGGACUGAGAUACGGCCCAGACUCCUACGGGAGGCAGCAGUGGGGAAUAUUGCACAAUGGGCGGAAGCCUGAUGCAGCAACGCCACGUGCGGAAUGACGGCCUUCGGGUUGUGAACCGCUUUCGACUGUGACGAAGCGUGAGUGACGGUAAUGGGUAAAGAAGCACCGGCUAACUACGUG
rnacentral:rRNA from 1 species